GAGUUUGAUCCUGGCUCAGGAUGAACGCUGGCGGCGUGCCUAAUACAUGCAAGUCGAACGCUUCACUUCGGUGAAGAGUGGCGAACGGGUGAGUAAUACAUAAGUAACCUGGCAUCUACAGGGGGAUAACUGAUGGAAACGUCAGCUAAGACCGCAUAGGUGUAGAGAUCGCAUGAACUCUAUAUGAAAAGUGCUACGGGACUGGUAGAUGAUGGACUUAUGGCGCAUUAGCUAGUUGGUAGGGUAACGGCCUACCAAGGCGACGAUGCGUAGCCGACCUGAGAGGGUGACCGGCCACACUGGGACUGAGACACGGCCCAGACUCCUACGGGAGGCAGCAGUAGGGAAUUUUCGGCAAUGGGGGAAACCCUGACCGAGCAACGCCGCGUGAAGGAAGAAGUAAUUCGUUAUGUAAACUUCUGUCAUAGAGGAAGAACGGUGGAUAUAGGGAAUGAUAUCCAAGUGACGGUACUCUAUAAGAAAGCCACGGCUAACUACGUGCCAGCCGCCGCGGUAAUAC
rnacentral:rRNA from 1 species